GGACCCGCACAAGCAGCGGAGCAUGUGGAUUAAUUCGACGCAACGCGAAGAACCUUACCUGGGCUUGACAUACCUCUGACCGCCAUGGAAACAUGGCUUCCCUUCGGGGCAGAGAUACAGGUGGUGCAUGGCUGUCGUCAGCUCGUGUCGUGAGAUGUUGGGUUGAGUCCCGCAACGAGCGCAACCCCCGUCCUAUGUUGCCAGCAUUCAGUUGGGGACUCAUAGGAGACUGCCGGUGACAAACCGGAGGAAGGUGGGGAUGACGUCAAGUCAUCAUGCCCCUUAUGUCCAGGGCUUCACACGUGCUACAUUGGCGCAUACAGAGGGCUGCGAUACCGCAAGGUGGAGCGAAUCCCAAAAAGUGCGUCUCGGUUCGGAUUGGGGGCUGAAACUCGCCCCCAUGAAGGCGGAGUUGCUAGUAAUCCCGGAUCAGCAAUGCCGGGGUGAAUACGUUCCCGGGUCUU
rnacentral:rRNA from 1 species